rnacentral:rRNA from 1 species
UACGUAGGGUGCAAGCGUUGUCCGGAAUUAUUGGGCGUAAAGAGCUCGUAGGCGGUCUGUCGCGUCGGAUGUGAAAACUCGGGGCUCAACCCCGAGCCUGCAUUCGAUACGGGCAGACUAGAGUUCGGUAGGGGAGACUGGAAUUCCUGGUGUAGCGGUGAAAUGCGCAGAUAUCAGGAGGAACACCGGUGGCGAAGGCGGGUCUCUGGGCCGAUACUGACGCUCAUGCACGAAAGCGUGGGGAGCAAACAGG